rnacentral:tRNA from 1 species
UACAUCUUGGUGUAUGAUGCACGGUGGCUUUUGAUGCUUACUGGUGAUAGUUUAAUUCUAUUAGAUGUAA